AUUAAGCAGUUUUUUGCAUCGUUGAGCUGCUUUUCAGCUCCAAAUGGCUUAAACUUUCCAUAUCUGAAGGAUUAUCUGUCCAUAGAAUAAGAUCACUUACUGAGGCUUUUAUUGGGUCCAUCCACCUUCUGGAUUCAGGGCUGGUAAGGGAGAAGUGGGUAAAAGAGGCAAAAAAGCAAGAGGGAGAGAGAAAAAGGAGGAGGCAUCUUUUCAGUCCCAGCUGCAGCUACAGGUAGAUACCUGAUCUCCUUGGAAGAC
rnacentral:lncRNA from 1 species